CAAUAGACUCUUCAUUGUUGGCCACAACUGCAUGUGCUUCGUUGAGGUCGAGAAAUUUUCCAAACCUGUAUUUUCUGAUUCGUUUGAGUUUGAUGUUGGUAACUAGAGUGAUUUACAUAUUCAUAUUUGUUUUGAUUUGAUGAAUUUUUCUUUGUUUUGUUUUUUCAUAACAUAGGAUUUUAGAUGGAUGACCGUUUGAUUUCUUGUUGGAAUGAGGGAGAAGGGAAUGAAUGAGGAAUUGGUGGAUAGCGACAGUGUUUGUGAUGGUGGUGGGUUGUUACAGGAAGGAAGUGGCUGUAGCAGGUGGUGACAGUGGGCCUAUGUUGAAAAGCAAUGAAGGUUGGACGGAGCGGAUGUUAGAAACAAUAGGACUAUAGGAGUUUUGAAGGGAGGAAGCUAUGGCAAUGCGGGAGAAGAGAUACAGCGCUGAAGG
rnacentral:lncRNA from 1 species